rnacentral:rRNA from 1 species
CACGUAGGGUGCGAGCGUUGUCCGGAAUUAUUGGGCGUAAAGAGCUCGUAGGCGGUGUGUCGCGUCGGCCGUGAAAACCUGGGGCUUAACUCUGGGCUUGCGGUCGAUACGGGCAUCACUUGAGUUCGGCAGGGGAGACUGGAAUUCCUGGUGUAGCGGUGAAAUGCGUAGAUAUCCGGAGGAACACCGGUGGCGAAGGCGGCUUCCUGGACCGACACUGACGCUGAGGCGCGAAAGCUAGGGGAGCAAACGGG